rfam:Stegodyphus mimosarum contig38119, whole genome shotgun sequence.
AAAAAGGCACUUUUCAGGGCCACACAAUUUCAGGUACAGUUCUGU